GAUGAACGCUGGCGGCGUGCCUAAUACAUGCAAGUCGAGCGAACAGACGAGGAGCUUGCUCCUCUGACGUUAGCGGCGGACGGGUGAGUAACACGUGGAUCACCUACCUAUAAGACUGGGAUAACUUCGGGAAACCGGAGCUAAUACCGGAUAAUAUAUUGAACCGCAUGGUUCAAUAGUGAAAGACGGUUUUGCUGUCACUUAUAGAUGGAUCCGCGCCGCAUUAGCUAGUUGGUAAGGUAACGGCUUACCAAGGCAACGAUGCGUAGCCGACCUGAGAGAGUGAUCGGCCACACUGGAACGGGGACACGGUCCAUACUCCUACGGGAGGCAGCAGUAGGGAAUCUUCCGCAAUGGGCGGAAACCUGACGGAGCAACGCCGCGUGAGUGAUGAAGGUCUUCGGAUCGUAAAACUCUGUUAUUAGGGAAGAACAAAUGUGUAAGUAACUAUGCACGUCUUGACGGUACCUAAUCAGAAAGCCACGGCUAACUACGUG
rnacentral:rRNA from 1 species